GAUGAACGCUGGCGGCGUGCCUAAUACAUGCAAGUCGAGCGAACGGACGAGAAGCUUGCUUCUCUGAUGUUAGCGGCGGACGGGUGAGUAACGAGUGGAUCACCUACCUCUAAUACUUGGAUAACUUCGGGAAACCGGAGCUAAUACCGGAUAAUAUUUUGAACCGCAUGGUUCAAAAGUGCAUGACGGUCUUGCUGUCACUUAUAGAUGGAUCCGCGCUGGAUUAGCUAGUUGGUAAGGUAACGGCUUACCAAGGCAACGAUGCAUAGCCGACCUGAGAGGGUGAUCGGCCACACUGGAACUGAGACACGGUCCAGACUCCUACGGGAGGCAGCAGUGGGGAAUCUUGCGCAAUGGGCGAAAGCCUGACGCAGCAACACCGCGUGAGUGAUGAAGGUCUUCGGAUCGUAAAGCCCUGUUAUUAGGGAAGAAAAGAAGUGGGAGAAAAUGUGGACAUCCUGACGGUACCUAAAGAAAAAGCAACGGCUAACUUCGUG
rnacentral:rRNA from 1 species